rnacentral:rRNA from 1 species
CCUACGGGAGGCAGCAGUGAGGAAUAUUGGUCAAUGGGCGAAAGCCUGAACCAGCCAAGUCGCGUGAAGGAUGAAGGUCCUAUGGAUUGUAAACUUCUUUUAUAAGGGAAUAAAGCGAGGGACGUGUGCCGUUUUGCAUGUACUUUAUGAAUAAGGAUCGGCUAACUCCGUGCCAGCAGCCGCGGUAAUACGGAGGAUCCGAGCGUUAUCCGGAUUUAUUGGGUUUAAAGGGAGCGUAGACGGGUUGUUAAGUCAGUUGUGAAAGUUUGGGGCUCAACCGUAGAAUUGCCGUUGAAACUGGCAGUCUUGAGUACUGUUGAGGCAGGCGGAAUGCGUGGUGUAGCGGUGAAAUGCUUAGAUAUCACGCAGAACCCCGAUUGCGAAGGCAGCUUACUAAGCCGUGACUGACGCUGAUGCACGAAAGCGUGGGUAUCAAACAGGAUUAGAUACCCGGGUAGUC